CAGUCGCCGCGGGAAUACGGAGGGUGUAAGCGUUAAUCGGAAUUACUGGGCGUAAAGCGCACGCAGGCGGUUUGUUAAGUCAGAUGUGAAAUCCCCGAGCUUAACUUGGGAACUGCAUUUGAAACUGGCAAGCUAGAGUCUCGUAGAGGGGGGUAGAAUUCCAGGUGUAGCGGUAAAAUGCGUAGAGAUCUGGAGGAAUACCGGUGGCGAAGGCGGCCCCCUGGACAAAGACUGACGCUCAGGUGCGAAAGCGUGGGGAGCAAACAGGAUUAGAUACCCGUGUAGUCCCUGUCUCUUAUAC
rnacentral:rRNA from 1 species